rnacentral:lncRNA from 1 species
GAUAUGCAGUUUUUGAGUUGCUCUAAUUCCUUCUCAAGCACCACAAAGCUUGGCCUCAAGGGCUAAGUUUGUUGUGGUCACACUUUUAAAGAUUGUUUAUGUUAGAAAAUAAACCUCAAAAUUCAAUUCAUAUUGAGCCCACGGCGAGGUUCAAGAUAAAAAAUGGAGUCCAACGAGCUCAAAAACAGUCCAAACGGAGUACAGAUGGAGG